GAAGUUCCCUUUUGGGGACUUAGCCUUCCAGCCCCUGUGCAAAGCGCAGCUGAAAACAAAAGCCGUAGACACCCAUGAAGGAAACACAUUGAAAAGGUUCCUAUGAACGAGACGCAGCACCGCAUCAGAGCAGCGCGCCCAUCUCAAGAUCCACACCUACCAGAGAGGAGCCGCGCUGCUUCUGUAGAGCUUGCUGGGAAGACCCCUCCAGGACGCCUGGCCAGUAAAGAGUGGCGAGCACUAACCUGCUUAGCUAACUUGAUUUAGCAAACAAAAAAUACAGAUGCCUAGUUAAGUCUAACCUUCAGAAAAAUAAGGAAUUUUUGUCUAAGUCUUCCACGUAGCAUCUGGGCCAUAUAUACAGUCUGAUUGUGACCUCCGUGGAAGUCUGUGGAGAGUUCUGACUUGGUCUCCCCGUGGGCAAAAUGCAGAUACUGAAUUUUAUGUGUUCUUC
rnacentral:lncRNA from 1 species